UACGGGGGGGGCAAGGCGUUGUUCGGAAUUACUGGGCGUAAAGGGCUCGUAGGCGGCCAACUAAGUCCGACGUGAAAUCCCCAGGCUUAACCCGGAGCGGCCAAGUGAUACUGUCGUGCUAGAGUGCGGAAGGGGCUACUGGGAAUUCUCGGUGGUAGCGGUGAAAUGCGUAGAGUAUCAGGAGGAACACCUGUGGUGUAGACGGCUCUCUGGACCGCAACUGACGCUGAGACGCGAAAGCGUGGGGAGCGAACAG
rnacentral:rRNA from 1 species